rnacentral:rRNA from 1 species
CGCUGGCGGCAGGCUUAACACAUGCAAGUCGAACGGGCUCUUCGGAGCUAGUGGCAGACGGGUGAGUAACGCGUGGGAACGUGCCUUUCGGUUCGGAAUAACUCAGGGAAACUUGAACUAAUACCGGAUACGCCCUUCGGGGGAAAGAUUUAUCGCCGAAAGAUCGGCCCGCGUCUGAUUAGCUAGUUGGUGAGGUAAUGGCUCACCAAGGCGACGAUCAGUAGCUGGUCUGAGAGGAUGAUCAGCCACAUUGGGACUGAGACACGGCCCAAACUCCUACGGGAGGCAGCAGUGGGGAAUAUUGGACAAUGGGCGCAAGCCUGAUCCAGCCAUGCCGCGUGAGUGAUGAAGGCCUUAGGGUUGUAAAGCUCUUUUGUCCGGGAAGAUAAUGACUGUACCGGAAGAAUAAGCCCCGGCUAACUUCGUGCCAGCAGCCGCGGUAAUACGAAGGGGGCUAGCGUUGCUCGGAAUCACUGGGCGUAAAGGGCGCGUAGGCGGACUCUUAAGUCGGGGGUGAAAGCCCAAGGCUCAACCCUGGAAUUGCUUCGAUACUGGGAGUCUUGAAUUC